UACGUAGGGUGCAAGCGUUAAUCGGAAUUACUGGGCGUAAAGCGUGCGCAGGCGGUUUUGUAAGACAGAGGUGAAAUCCCCGGGCUCAACCUGGGAACUGCCUUUGUGACUGCAUAGCUAGAGUACGGUAGAGGGGGAUGGAAUUCCGCGUGUAGCAGUGAAAUGCGUAGAUAUGCGGAGGAACACCGAUGGCGAAGGCAAUCCCCUGGACCUGUACUGACGCUCAUGCACGAAAGCGUGGGGAGCAAACAGG
rnacentral:rRNA from 1 species